CAAGUACAGAAGAAAUAAAAGGUGUUCAUUGGGCUUCAUGGACAUGUGUUUCAGGCCUUGAAGUAAAUGGAAUUUGGCCCAAGUAUUCAGAUAUCAACGAUAUAAAUUCAGUAGAUGGAAAUUAUAUUGGCCAAGUUUUAGUUACAGCUGAUGACUAUGGAAUUAUAAAAUUAUUCCGAUAUCCAUGUUUAAGAAAAGGGGCCAAGUUUAGAAAAUAUAUUGGCCAUUCAGCUCACGUAACUAAUGUCAGAUGGUCACAUGAUUAUCAGUGGGUUAUUUCUAUUGGUGGAGCAGAUCACUCUGUCUUUCAGUGGAAAUUUAUUCCUGAAAGAAAACUGAAAGAUGCUGUUCACAUAGCACCCCAAGACAUUUAAAUUUGAUGUAGCGGUCAUUGGGGAGCCAGUGAAGGGAUUUAAAGGAGCUAUUGAGUUUGCAGUGAG
rnacentral:lncRNA from 1 species